rnacentral:rRNA from 1 species
GAUGAACGCUGGCGGCGUGCCUUAUACAUGCCAGUCGAGUGGGUUUAGACCCACGGCCAACGGGUGAGUAACCCGUAGGUACUUUCCUUGUCACAGGAAUAACCCUCCUAAAGGAGGGCUAAUACCUGCUGUGAUCGCAAGAUUAAAGGGUAUCCGCAAGGAUUACCGUACAAGAAGAGGCCUGCGGCCUAUCAGCUAGUUGGCGGGUUCAAUGCCCACCAAGGCUAUGACGGGUAGCUGGUCUUAUGAGGAUGAUCAGUCACAUGGACACUGAGACACGGGCCCAACACCUACGGGAGGCAGCAGUAGGGAAUUUUGCGCAAUGGGCGAAAGCCUGACGCAGCGACGCCGCGUGCGGGAUGAAGGCCUUCGGGUCGUAAAACGCUUUUAUAAGGGACGAAUUUUGACGGUACCUUAUGAAUAAGAGGUUGCUAACUCUGUG